GACUUGAUGCUUGUUCUAACUUCUAAAUACUAAUAUUCAUUCAUGUGUUUUAAUAUUUCUGAAAUGCAUAUCUUGAACAACUUGAUUUGAUGCUUGUUCUAAAUACUGAUGAAGAUUUUGGCUUUGUUUAGGGCUGCUAGUGCAUUCAUGUUACGAUUAGUUGGAUCUAAAUUGCAUAUCUUGAACAACUUGACUUGAUUGCU
rnacentral:lncRNA from 1 species